UACGGAGGGAGCUAGCGUUGUUCGGAAUUACUGGGCGUAAAGCGUGCGUAGGCGGCUUUGUAAGUUAGAGGUGAAAGCCCGGGGCUCAACCCCGGAAUUGCCUUUAAGACUGCAUCGCUUGAAUCCGGGAGAGGUGAGUGGAAUUCCGAGUGUAGAGGUGAAAUUCGUAGAUAUUCGGAAGAACACCAGUGGCGAAGGCGGCUCACUGGACCGGCAUUUACGCUGAGGUGCGAAAGCGUGGGGAGCAAACAGG
rnacentral:rRNA from 1 species